rnacentral:rRNA from 1 species
AUGCACGCUGGCGGCGUGCCUAAUACAUGCCAGUCGAGCGAACGGACGAGAAGCUUGCUUUUCUGAUGUUAGCGGCGGACGGGUGAGUAACACGUGGAUAACCUACCUAUAAGACUGGGAUAACUUCGGGAAACCGGAGCUAAUACCGGAUAAUAUUUUGAACCGCAUGGUUCAAAAGUGAAAGACGGUCUUGCUGUCACUUAUAGAUGGAUCCGCGCUGCAUUAGCUAGUUGGUAAGGUAACGGCUUACCAAGGCAACGAUGCAUAGCCGACCUGAGAGGGUGAUCGGCCACACUGGAACUGAGACACGGUCCAGACUCCUACGGGAGGCAGCAGUAGGGAAUCUUCCGCAAUGGGCGAAAGCCUGACGGAGCAACGCCGCGUGAGUGAUGAAGGUCUUCGGAUCGUAAAACUCUGUUAUUAGGGAAGAACAUAAGUGUAAGUAACUGUGCACAUCUUGACGGUACCUAAUCAGAAAGCCACGGCUAACUACGUG